rnacentral:lncRNA from 1 species
UCUCUUUCUUUGCUCUGUUGACAAACCGCUCUCACCAGGUAGUCCAACCAGUGCUUGCCUCAGCGGCGUUAACUCCACCAGCUCCAUCACUUCCUCUAUGAAUAUCUGUACCAAACAAAACAAAAAUUGUUAGUAUAGUUUCGAUUUCCUCAUUUUACUUCUGGAAAUGAUAAUGUCUCUGAAUAACCUUUCUCUUGUUUUUAUCAACUUCUUUAGGUAAUCGGAGCCAGGCUGAGUAAACCAAGGACUCGUAAACAGUGACAUGUGGGGAAUGGAUAUCAGUUUGUUCACAGUAUCCUGAGAUACGGGCAAAUGUUUG